UACGUAGGGUGCGAGCGUUAAUCGGAAUUACUGGGCGUAAAGCGUGCGCAGGCGGUUUUGUAAGCCAGAUGUGAAAUCCCCGGGCUUAACCUGGGAAUGGCAUUUGGGACUGCAAGGCUCGAGUGCGGCAGAGGAGACUGGAAUUCCUGGUGUAGCAGUGAAAUGCGUAGAUAUCAGGAGGAACACCGAUGGCGAAGGCAGGUCUCUGGGCUGACACUGACGCUCAUGCACGAAAGC
rnacentral:rRNA from 1 species